GUUUUGGUGGUGUAGUGGUAGCACGCGGCCGCGGUAUGGCUGAAACACGGGUUCAACUCUCGUCUGAGGUU